UACGGAGGAUGCAAGCGUUAUCCGGAAUGAUUGGGCGUAAAGCGUCCGCAGGUGGCUGUGUAAGUCUGCUGUCAAAGAGCGAAGCUCAACUUCGUAAAGGCAGUGGAAACUACACGGCUAGAGUGCGUUCGGGGCAGAGGGAAUUCCUGGUGUAGCGGUGAAAUGCGUAGAGAUCAGGAGGAAGACCGGUGGCGAAGGCGGCCUGCUGGGCAGUUACUGACACUGAGGCGCGACAGCGUGGGGAGCAAACAGG
rnacentral:rRNA from 1 species